UUAAAAAUCCUGAAUAAGUGACAAUGGUCACAUGUACAUAUUUUAAUUUGCCAAAUUCUGCAAUAUGCAUAACAUCCAUUUGCCAUAGAAGAUUGGGAAGAAGAUCUCGAGGGUUUACCCCUAAGUGAGGGACAGGAAAAUAUUUUGUACAUACCCCACAUCAUUUAACUAUUUGACGAACUGCUUCUUUGAUGCUAGAGAAAGCC